rnacentral:lncRNA from 1 species
UUUUUUUGUUUUUUGUUUUUUUUUACAUAAAUAAGGCCGUUAGUUUUCUCGUUUGAAUUGUUUUACAUUGUCUUAUCGGGGCCUUUUAUAGCCGACUAUGCGGUAUGGGCUUUGCUCAUUGUUGAAGGCCGUACGGUGACCUAUAGUUGGUAAUGUCUGUGUCAAUUUGGUCUUUUGUGGAUAGUUGUCUCAUUGGCAAUCAUACCACAUCUUCUUUUUUAUAUUAA